ACGAAAGAAAUGCCCGGGCUGCUGUAGCUG
rnacentral:piRNA from 1 species